rnacentral:lncRNA from 1 species
AUGGUGUCCUACCUUCUUUUGAAACUAGAUGGUUCUGCAUAGCCCAGCGUCUGCUUUCUAUUUCUGUGGUUCAGGCACGACUGUUUGUUAAGAUAAUGACAAAGAACAUUGACAUCCAGCACACAUGGGACUUAUGGACUUUGCUGACUAUUUUUGAAAGCUCUGUAGGAUGUGUGGUAAGGAGCGGGGCACAUUAGCCCUGGCUCUGCUAGUGCAGCUCAGUAUGUUUAGGUGUAACUGUGGCUUCUUUAGGUGUAACUGUGUAACACAGACUCACGCUGUGUAGCCAUGGAAGAAUGAAGCGCUGUGUGCUACAUAAACUGUGCCUCUGCUAUACACAAGCAAGAUUGUCAGAUGGCAAGCCCGAACGUGUGCUCUUUCUUUUGUCCCAUUAAGAGGACAAUCUGGAAGAUGCCACCUGGUCAAUCGAGUCAUAUUCUCCACCUGACACAGGGCAGCCUGCCAACCUGACACUUACUCUCAGGCUGCUUUUCUUUACUAGGGCAGCCACUAUUUUUUUUUUCUCAUUCGGUUUUUGUAAGUAUUUAAGUUUAAGCAAAAAUAAAAAUUCAAACAUGUUCGGCUAAUC